UGGCGAAGAAACCUAGGAGCUCCAAAAGUUAAGGAAUCCAUGUCCUCAGAAGCUACAGCAUAAACCUUUCCUGAUUUGCAAAGUGCAGCACACUCUGCCUCUGCUUCCGAAGGAGCCUCAAUUACAGGUACUCCCAUGAGUUUUAAAAGUCUCUUGCAGUCUUCAUUGUGCUGCUUUGUAACCUUCACUGUUCGCUUACUGAAUUUCUCAAUGUCUUCCUUGUUGCCAG
rnacentral:misc_RNA from 1 species